rnacentral:rRNA from 1 species
GACGAACGCUGGCGGCGUGCUUAACACAUGCAAGUCGAACGAUGAAGGAGAGCUUGCUCUCCGGAUUAGUGGCGAACGGGUGAGUAACACGUGACUAACCUGCCCCUUUCUCUGGGAUAACGCUCCGAAAGGAGUGCUAAUACCGGAUACGAACUCUGAACACAUGUUCGGAGUUGGAAAGUUUUUCGGAAAGGGAUGGAGUCGCGGCCUAUCAGCUUGUUGGUGAGGUAACGGCUCACCAAGGCGACGACGGGUAGCCGGCCUGAGAGGGCGACCGGCCACACUGGGACUGAGACACGGCCCAGACUCCUACGGGAAGCAGCAGUGGGGAAUAUUGCACAAUGGGCGAAAGCCUGAUGCAGCGACGCCGCGUGAGGGAUGAAGGUCUUCGGAUUGUAAACCUCUUUCAGUAGGGACGAAGCGAAAGUGACGGUACCUAAAGAAGAAGCACCGGCUAACUACGUGCCAGCCGCCGCGGUAA